rnacentral:rRNA from 1 species
GACGAACGCUGGCGGUAUGCUUAACACAUGCAAGUCGUACGAAAUAAUUUUCUUCGGAGAUUAUUUAGUGGCGGACGGGUGCGUAACGCGUAAGAAUCUACCCUUAGGUGUGGGAUAACUAUUGGAAACGGUAGCUAAUACCGCAUAUGCUGAGGAGUAAAAACUUGAAAAAGUGCCUGGGGAUGAGCUUGCGUCUGAUUAGUUUGUUGGUGGGGUAAAGGCCUACCAAGACUACGAUCAGUAGUUGGUCUGAGAGGAUGAUCAGCCACACUGGGAC